rnacentral:rRNA from 1 species
GAGCGAACAGACGAGGAGCUUGCUCCUCUGACGUUAGCGGCGGACGGGUGAGUAACACGUGGAUAACCUACCUAUAAGACUGGGAUAACUUCGGGAAACCGGAGCUAAUACCGGAUAAUAUAUUGAACCGCAUGGUUCAAUAGUGAAAGACGGUUUUGCUGUCACUUAUAGAUGGAUCCGCGCCGCAUUAGCUAGUUGGUAAGGUAACGGCUUACCAAGGCAACGAUGCGUAGCCGACCUGAGAGGGUGAUCGGCCACACUGGAACUGAGACACGGUCCAGACUCCUACGGGAGGCAGCAGUAGGGAAUCUUCCGCAAUGGGCGAAAGCCUGACGGAGCAACGCCGCGUGAGUGAUGAAGGUCUUCGGAUCGUAAAACUCUGUUAUUAGGGAAGAACAAAUGUGUAAGUAACUAUGCACGUCUUGACGGUACCUAAUCAGAAAGCCACGGCUAACUACGUGCCAGCAGCCGCGGUAAUACGUAGGUGGCAAGCGUUAUCCGGAAUUAUUGGGCGUAAAGCGCGCGUAGGCGGUUUUUUAAGUCUGAUGUGAAAGCCCACGGCUCAACCGUGGAGGGUCAUUGGAAACUGGAAAACUUGAGUGCAGAAGAGGAAAGUGGAAUUCCAUGUGUAGCGGUGAAAUGCGCAGAGAUAUGGAGGAACACCAGUGGCGAAGGCGACUUUCUGGUCUGUAACUGACGCUGAUGUGCGAAAGCGUGGGGAUCAAACAGGAUUAG